rnacentral:rRNA from 1 species
UGCCAGCCGCCGCGGUAAGACAGAGGGUGCAAACGUUGCUCGGAAUUACUGGGCGUAAAGCGCGUGUAGGCGGGUCGCCAAGUCAGAUGUGAAAGCCCUGGGCUCAACCCAGGAACUGCAUUUGAAACUGGCGGCCUUGAGUGGUGGAGAGGGAAGCGGAAUUCCUGGUGUAGAGGUGAAAUUCGUAGAUAUCAGGAGGAACACCGGUGGCGAAGGCGGCUUCCUGGACACUUACUGACGCUGAGACGCGAAAGCGUGGGGAGCAAACAGGAUUAGAUA